rnacentral:sRNA from 1 species
AUGACAGUAGAAGUCCACCGUUUAGCUACAAAGCAGAUGUAGAUCAGACAGCUGCAGUAGGCAUUUUCCCUGCAUGCACUUCAUGGGUCCAUAUAGGAGCUAUGGGUGAAUUCAGUCUCUGUGGCCCAUUCCAUCCUUGGCGUUU